rnacentral:lncRNA from 1 species
AGGGCAAUUAUGGUCUGUCAUUAAAUAUAUCUCUAUCGUCUACCGAAGGUGGAAUUAUAUUGUAGCUCAAAGCAUACUAAAGUUAUAAAUCGGGGUUUAAUAAAAUGAACGCGUCGAUAGAUAAAUGAUAAGUGUGUGAGUGACCACUAUUGUCUUUUAUAAAAAUCCAUUCAAUAGCUGCCUUUAUUUCGUUGCGGAAUGUGUUUUGGAACAAUAAAAUGCACGGAUUUUUCAAAUUGACAGCUGUGACACCUGUCAAAGUUUGAUUUGACAUAUUGACAAAUGUCACAUACACCCGAAAAACAUAGAAGUCAAAGAUGAAAGUAAGUUGUGUGUUGUAAAAACUAAAGGAAUUCCACCAAAAAUGUUGAUGCAAGACGGACAAGCGGGCAGGAGAAUGAUAGUGAAAUAUUUAAGAGGAUACGUACCCGGGAGCACAAACGUUUACGAUAAUAUCGUUAUCUCUAUCGCUCUUCAAUAUUGGCGCGACAGAGCCAGACUGUGUUUCAAUCGGCGUCUAGCGACGGCGAAUUUCCUCUGAGCAAUUCAGUCAGGGUAUGCUGCAAACAUACCAAGGAGCCAACAAGGAAUGUUGCCUAGGCUUGCCGCGAGAGAUGUGAAAUGCCAUGACACAGACAAAUUUUAAGUGGGCAUGAUAUAUAAUUAUAUACUCAACAACAGCGGGCACUACAAGGCUCUGGCAUAGAGUACCUAGAGCAUGGAAUGAGGCUACCAUUGCAUAGUUAAAUAUGAUGUGGCUCCUUCUUGUCAUACUUUCUACAGCUGCAGAAAAAGAAAAACAAUAUGACAGUGAACCAUACUUCGGCCAGUGAGGUGUAAUUGAACUAAAUGCCAUAAAACCAACUUGUUUGAAAUAGUUUGAAUUGGUCCAGAAAAGUUAUAAGUUCAUGGUAUAUUAGAAAACACUGAAGAUGUCGAGGAAAUACAAGAAGUUGAUGUCGAUCUAAUCAGAGAUAUUAAUUAUUAGAAAUGAAUGUAUUUGAAAUACUAAUAUA